CGUCAUUUCCUGUUUAUAGCGUUUCUGCGUAUUAUGGGCUCUUGGGUGCUGGUGUAAACAACAUCGUGUGCAUUCCUGACUAAAAUGUGCAUGUCUUUGGAGGUGGGAGGAAGCCGGAGUACCCGGAAGGAACCCACGCAGUCACGGGGAGGACAUGCAAACUCCACACAGAAAGAUCCAGAGGCCGGGAUUGAACUCACGACUACUCAGGACCUUCGUAUUACCACAGACACACAUAUACCACACUACCAACUUCACCAUUACAGAGUGCCUGAAAGCCUCUCCUGUGCCCUACUCUCUGACCGGAGUCCUGUCCUAAGAUGAUGUCAGAUCAGCAUUCUGCACCCAGAGUAACCUACUCUAUCACAGUACCAAUUUGCUUAUCACGAAAUAUUACAUUAAAAAAUGUGACUUAUAUUUGACUUGGACUUCAUCCGGACAAACAACACAAUUAAAAUGCAAGCAAGCAAUUAAUUUAUCAUCACAGUUUGAAUUGAGUCCCAAAAGGAGUAGGAAGAAGCAGAAGAUUAUCAAGUUCCUACAGUACUCCCACUUAGUUUCAUUUUAUAACACGAAUAAUGAGGUGACAUAUUUUUAUAUUGCUCUUUUCUCUAGUGAUUCAAAGCGCUUUUACAUAGUGAAACCCAAUAUCUAAGUUACAUUUAAACCAGUUUGGGUGGCACUGGGAGCAGUAAAGUGUCUUGCCCAAGGACACAACGGCAGUGACUAGGAUGGCGGAAGCAAGGAUCGAACCUGGAACCUUCAAGUUGCUAGCACCGAACUAUACCACUCCUCCCACACAAAUCGCAAUUAUAGCUACCCUCAGAGGGCCACAUGUAACAGUGCAUAUGUAUGUAUAAACAAUUUAUAACCUUGAUACACAAUUAGCAACAACUAUUUUCGAUAAAUGUAUUGUUUGCAGAUGGUUGGAUAACUUAAUUUUAAAAUGUAAGUUAAGAUGACAAGUAGAUAUUGAAGUGUUUAUUUUUGAAAACUCCCCACAUAUGCUUGGAACAUCAGAUAAUAUUAAAGUGUUAUCUGAUGUGCAUGUGAUUUUCUGUCAAGAUUGGAAAAACAAAUACAUUUGUCAGAAGUGCUACUGACAGUUUGGUUAUGUUUGGGUUUUCCUGUGUUUAGAAUCACUUCUGGUCCUGGUGCUCUUGUUUUGUCAGCUGUUUUGGUCCCUGUGUGACAGUAACUUGAACCAGCACCUUUACUUUCUGUUCCAUGUCCUGUCAGCAAACCGGUUCCUUGUUUAAUUAGUUCUAUUUAGUUCCACCUGGGCAGCACGGUGGUACAGGGGU